ACUGGACAGUCUUGCAUCUGUCAUUGCAGAGCCACACAGGCUUGAAAUUCAGAAAUGAAAAUGCGAGUAAGGUGUAUACGUGCAAAAAUCAUCUGGUGGGUAUCGCUGAAUGUUUUCAUACAGGUAAAUGUGUAAACACAGAGCAACAACACUAGAGAGUCAUUUUUCACCGUGUUUUCCUUCUCUCUGGGAAACGGCUGGGCCAGUGCCGGUAAAAUCAUUUACAUCUGGACAAGACUUGGCUCUGCCUGCCCCACUCCUGAAACCUCAAGGCUGGAGAGAGCCCAUGGCCCUUGCUGCCACCACCAGUAACAGUCUCCCUGGGACCUCACUGUCUCGAUCUCCUGCGGGGCUCUGGUGUUUGACUUAGCAGCUCUCAACGUUCCUGGUGCCAUUCGACUUUUUACCAUCACAUCCACCACAUGCAAACCCUUCAAAAUGUCAAACAUCACAGAUUAAAAUAAAAUACAGUGAUCACAGGAUAUGUGACUCCCAAGGCAGCUGUGACAAAAAUGCAUCCGCAAUCACAUACCCUAUGGCAUCUUCAAAGAGGAAGCCAUGAAGGGAAAGAUCAUGUCUUCAGCAUGCAUUUUCAGAUCAGGCAUUUUUCUCAGGUCUAUUCUUGGAAUGUGUUUAAAGAAAACUUUCUCCCCUCACCCAUUUGGAAAAUGUUUUACAUUCCAGCGUCAAAACUAAGAUCACCACAUACUCUCCAGUCCUCUCUAGGGCUCUGCAAUAAAUGUCAUGAGGAAAAGGCUAAGGAGUGUGAGGCUUUGACUUGGGCUCUUUCAGACACUAGCUUGAUUUUUAGUUGUUUACCGUGGCUGCUAGACAUUGAACUCUGGACAUCCUUCUCCUCCUCUGUUUCUUUCAACAGAUUUCAUGCCAAAUUCUUUUCAGGAAUGUGAGUAUAAAUCUGGAGAAAUUCCCUGGGGUGAUCAGGACCACUGCAGGCUUGCACUUCUAAAUAAGAGCAGUGUACAGCCCUUGUGCUUACAAAGUUGGCAUGAGCCUAGACUUUAUUUUUCCUCCCAUGUUUCCAAACUGUGGUCUCAAUUCAGUUUAUACUGGACGGUUUCCAUCUAAGGUUCCAAGAAGUAAAGCACGUUUGUGAAGAGCAUGCCUGAGAUUACCAGAAAAUAAGAGAUGUAAAUACAGGCUGCUUGCUGAUCUGCUCUUUGAUACUUCCAUGGGAGUUGGUUUUGGUGUGGCUGUCUCCCAGGCUGAUUGUCCAGAAGAUCCUGGGCCUGCAUUGCUUUGGAUAUACCGUUCAAGCAUGUGUUAAUUCUUAUCUUACACAUUGUUUCUAAAGCCUGAUUUCACAUUUCUGCUGCUAAAAAUGGCCCAAUUCAGAAGGGUACAUUUGUGUUUUGAUUGCACAUAUGCCACUGGAGAUGCCUAGGACACCUGUGACACCUGCUUGUGUGAUGGUGGGUACUGUUUAAAGGGGAGUUUAAGUCAGUGGGAUGUAAUUUCUUUUCACAUCCAGACAUGCAGUUCUAGAGCAAAGCAGCCGAAGCCCUGCUGUUAUGAACUACGAUUAAGAUCCUGAUUAACCUAUGCUCCUCUUCUCUUUGCAUGAAUUUGGCAUGUCUUACUCACGUGUGAGCUGUGAGUGAAUGUGUGUUCACCUCCACUCCUGACAGAGAGUCAAGACGGUGCAUGUUUUCAUGGUCUUAUGGCACCAACUCUACCCUGAAAGAUGGAAGAAAAAGUGUGGCAGCACAGAGGGAUGAGCAUCAGACCAAAGUACACAGGCUUUUAACAAACUGCUUAAUGGCCAAGGGUUGAGAAUGGUUACUGAAUGAAUGCUGAAUGGUCUCAAGAUGGGGCUUUUCCUCCGUCAUUGUCUUACUCCCCUUUAUAUUUCGGUCAAUCCACUUUGUCCCCACCUGUUCUGAUUCACUUUGACCUAUCUACUCCAGAAAGCCAGUAUAAGGUAGUAAAACACACAGGGGUAGCUUUAUUCUCAGUGCUCCUUAGGAAGAAUGUUUCACAAUAAACUCAAUUUUAGGUUUAGGACAAAAUUAACAAUAUAACUAAAGGAGUAUCUCACUUUCCAAUGCUCAUAUAUGCUCUUCACUUCAGUGUCAGAGUAUCUCAUACUAAUGGAAACUCCAGUUAACACUUCUGGUCAUUUCCCAGUGCUUCCAGUUGAAAAUUGUGUUUCCGUUAGUAAUAAAAGGUUUUUGAAUUG
ensembl:lncRNA